AGCAGCCGCGGUAAUUCCAGCUCCAAUAGCGUAUAUUAAAGUUGUUGCAGUUAAAAAGCUCGUAGUUGAAUUUCGGGAUCAAUAUGUCGGUCGUGCCUUCGGUACGCACUGGUAUCAUUGGUCUCUCCUUUCUGACGAACCAUGAUGUCAUUAAUUUGGUGUUAUGGGGAGUUAGGACUGUUACUUUGAAAAAAUUAGAGUGUUUAAAGCAGGCUUUAGCUUGAAUACAUUAGCAUGGAAUAAUGAAAUAGGACGUUCGAACCUAUUUUGUUGGUUUCUAGGAUCAACGUAAUGAUUAAUAGGGAUAGUUGGGGGCAUUAGUAUUCAAUUGUCAGAGGUGAAAUUCUUGGAUUUAUUGAAGACUAACUACUGCGAAAGCAUUUGCCAAGGAUGUUUUCAUUAAUCAAGAACGAAAGUUAGGGGAUCGAAGACGAUCAGAUACCGUCGUAGUCUUAACCAUAAACUAUGUCGACUAGGGAUCGGAUGAUGUUAAUUUUUUAAUGACUCA
rnacentral:rRNA from 1 species